rnacentral:rRNA from 1 species
ACACAUGCAAGCCGAGCGGUAUGAUUCUUUCGGGAAUCAGAGAGCGGCGUACGGGUGCGGAACACGUGUGCAACCUGCCUUUAUCUGGGGGAUAGCCUUUCGAAAGGAAGAUUAAUACCCCAUAAUAUAUUGAGUGGCAUCACUUAAUAUUGAAAACUCCGGUGGAUAGAGAUGGGCACGCGCAAGAUUAGAUAGUUGGUGGGGUAACGGCCUACCAAGUCGAUGAUCUUUAGGGGGCCUGAGAGGGUGAUCCCCCACACUGGUACUGAGACACGGACCAGACUCCUACGGGAGGCAGCAGUGAGGAAUAUUGGACAAUGGGUGCAAGCCUGAUCCAGCCAUCCCGCGUGAAGGACGACGGCCCUAUGGGUUGUAAACUUCUUUUGUACAGGGAUAAACCUAGAUACGUGUAUCUAGCUGAAGGUACUGUACGAAUAAGCACCGGCUAACUCCGUGCCAGCAGCCGCGGUAAUACGGAGGGUGCAAGCGUUAUCCGGAUUUAUUGGGUUUAAAGGGUCCGUAGGCGGAUCAGUAAGUCAGUGGUGCCCUCUCAUAGCUUAACUAUGAAACUGCCAUUGAUACUGCUGGUCUUGAGUAAGGUAGAAGUAGCUGGAAUAAGUAGUGUAGCGGUGAAAUGCAUAGAUAUUACUUAGAACACCAAUUGCGAAGGCAGGUUACUAUGUCUUAACUGACGCUGAUGGACGAAAGCGUGGGGAGCGAACAGGAUUAGAUACCCUGGUAGUCCACGCUGUAAACGAUGCUAACUCGUUUUUGGGUUUUCGGAUUCAGAGACUAAGCGAAAGUGAUAAGUUAGCCACCUGGGGGAGUACGAACGCAAGUUUGAAACUCAAAGGAAUUGACGGGGGCCCGCACAAGCGGUGGAUUAUGUGGUUUAAUUCGAUGAUACGCGAGGAACCUUACCAAGGCUUAAAUGGGAAUUGAUCGGUUUAGAAAUAGACCUUCCUUCGGGCAAUUUUCAAGGUGCUGCAUGGUUGUCGUCAGCUCGUGCCGUGAGGUGUUAGGUUAAGUCCUGCAACGAGCGCAACCCCUGUCACUAGUUGCCAUCAUUAAGUUGGGGACUCUAGUGAGACUGCCUACGCAAGUAGAGAGGAAGGUGGGGAUGACGUCAAAUCAUCACGGCCCUUACGCCUUGGGCCACACACGUAAUACAAUGGCCGGUACAGAGGGCAGCUACACAGCGAUGUGAUGCAAAUCUCGAAAGCCGGUCUCAGUUCGGAUUGGAGUCUGCAACUCGACUCUAUGAAGCUGGAAUCGCUAGUAAUCGCGCAUCAGCCAUGGCGCGGUGAAUACGUUCCCGGGCCUUGUACACACCGCCCGUCAAGCCAUGGAAGUCUGGGGUACCUGAAGUCGGUGACCGUAAAAGGAGCUGCCUAGGGUAAGAC